ACCAAUUGAGUUAAUCUCUCUUGUUUUCUCCGUCCUCUCUCUACAAAACCAGUCCGACAUCUCCUUCCGUUCACCGGCUCCGGCUGCUCGCAUAGAGCUGGAGCUGGGUUUAGAUUCUCUCUUUUGAUAAAUAUUUCCAGACUUCAUUCCUUUCUAUGGGCAGAUUUCUCUAGAUUCAGUUCUAGUUUCAAUCUGCUCCCGUAUGAUUGUGAAUGGUCUGAUGAUUUUCUUUAUACAGUUCAAGCUUCUUCUAGACAUCUCCGGUUAGGUCUUUUCCUACCCGAUUGUUCUGAUCCAGUCUAUUUUGCCUUCCGUUCUUUGCAUGUUGGAUUAGAGUUACUUUGGUUUCUUCACCGGUUCGAUCUUCUGUCUCCUGUCUCCGUGCAUGCGUCAGAAUCUGGUGUUGAUUGCAUUCGCUCCUUGUCUUUAACCUAUUAGAUCUGAUCGAGAUCUGUUCUUUAGUAAGCUUCAAGCAGGCGUUUCAAGUCAGUCAUCCCUUCGACUCCGCCGUCUCCGGUUUGUAGACAGGAAAAUAAAUUGUUCCUUUGAUCUCCUGGAUCUUGCUGCUUUGAACUUUCAAUUGUUUGGGCCAUUCACUAUAGGAGGUUUCUUUUCUCGGUGGUUUGAUCAAGUUUGUCUCCAUCGUUUCUCCAAAGUUCUCUUUUAAGUCCACAUGCAAUUUGUUCUAUUUCCAUUCUGGAUCUAUUUGUAAUUGUUCUAGAUGUCUCAGUUGUAAGUUUGUGUUGUAUCUAUCUUCGGCUGGUUUUUAUGUUUCAUAUUGUCUCCCUCUUGUGGGCUUCUCUUUCCGGGGAGGUUGUUUACUCCGUCGGACUGUAUUUCCGGGAUCACUUGUCAUCGCCGGCCUAGUUGUAACAAUGGGUUUGAAGUUAAUAUAAUGAUCUUUAGUGUGAAAAAAAAUUCUCCUUAUCCGCCUUUUGAUUUUACCAUUUAUUUUAGUUACUUCUCCGUGUUAUUCUUUUUGUCGUUUGCUUAGAUAUUUUGUUUGUAACUUUUGUGUUACGUUUGAUAAAAAAAAAGCUUUUGUGUUACAGAGGGCGCCUCAGAAUCCAGAAUCCAAAAUGCAAAAAGGAAAAAAAAAAGCAAAUGGAGAAGAAUACAAGGAAGCCUUUGGCCUCUUCGACAAAGAUGGCGAUGGUUUAUAAGCCGAUAUUUAUUUUUCCAUAAAGGAAGCAUGGCUCUGGCUGCUGAGCUACGCCAUGUGAUAACCAAUCUCGGUGAGAAGCUAACAGAUGAGGAAGUUGAAGAGAUGGUCCGUGAGGAUGAUGUCGAUGGAGAUGGUCAGAUAAACUAUGAAGAGUUUGUCAAGAUUAUGAUGGCUAAGUGAUGGAAGAAAGGUGGUGGAUGAUGAAUUGAUGAUGACAUGACCUUUUUUCUAAUUAGACAGAGAUUUGAGGCAGAAACAGUAUUUGCUCUUUGGUUUAUGAUUUUAUGGUAUGGAAAACAAUUAUAUUGGUUUGAGAAGCUAAACUGCGUGUUCAGUAAAGGGAAGGUAGCGUAAGCAAAUGUUUUUCUACCGUCCGCUCCAUUAUUCCUGUACGAUUAUCUCCAAGCCACUUAUGAAAACGCGUCCAAUCAAGACAAAUAGGUGGCCAUGGACUUUAUUUUU